AGAGUUUGAUCCUGGCUCAGGAUGAACGCUGGCGGCGUGCCUAAUACAUGCAAGUCGAGCGAACGGACGAGAAGCUUGCUUCUCUGAUGUUAGCGGCGGACGGGUGAGUAACACGUGGAUAACCUACCUAUAAGACUGGGAUAACUUCGGGAAACCGGAGCUAAUACCGGAUAAUAUUUUAAACCGCAUGGUUCAAAAGUGAAAGACGGUCUUGCUGUCACUUAUAGAUGGAUCCGCGCUGCAUUAGCUAGUUGGUAAGGUAACGGCUUACCAAGGCAACGAUGCAUAGCCGACCUGAGAGGGUGAUCGGCCACACUGGAACUGAGACACGGUCCAGACUCCUACGGGAGGCAGCAGUAGGGAAUCUUCCGCAAUGGGCGAAAGCCUGACGGAGCAACGCCGCGUGAGUGAUGAAGGUCUUCGGAUCGUAAAACUCUGUUAUUAGGGAAGAACAUAUGUGUAAGUAACUGUGCACAUCUUGACGGUACCUAAUCAGAAAGCCACGGCUAACUACGUGCCAGCAGCCGCGGUAAUACGUAGGUGGCAAGCGUUAUCCGGAAUUAUUGGGCGUAAAGCGCGCGUAGGCGGUUUUUUAAGUCUGAUGUGAAAGCCCACGGCUCAACCGUGGAGGGUCAUUGGAAACUGGAAAACUUGAGUGCAGAAGAGGAAAGUGGAAUUCCAUGUGUAGCGGUGAAAUGCGCAGAGAUAUGGAGGAACACCAGUGGCGAAGGCGACUUUCUGGUCUGUAACUGACGCUGAUGUGCGAAAGCGUGGGGAUCAAACAGGAUUAGAUACCCUGGUAGUCC
rnacentral:rRNA from 1 species